GGUUCUCAGGAUACCAGUCUGAGCAUGUGUAGCAAAGCCAGGGUGUGCAAACAGAAAUGAAAAGGAAUUUGGAAAACUCCUUCCUCACAUUCUCUGUUCAAUUCAGCAGCCAUGGGUUUUCUGCCCUUAGAUUGACUUAACUAAUACCUUCCCCCAUUUGAUUAAAAAAUUUUAAAUUCUAAGGCUUCCCCCCAACCGACUUCAUUCCCCCCCCCCUUUUUGAGUCAAUUCUCUUAAUUAAGUGAUGAAAAUUCAAAUAUUACAAAUGUCAUAUUUGGCAGCAGGCCCCAGUGUCCACAUCUUAUUCCCAAACUCUGGAUCGAGUUGGCCCUUUCCUCACAGCUUUUCUCUUUUUUCUUUUUUAUAUUUUUUAUUACAGUUGAUUUACAAUGUUCUGUCAAUUUCCACUGUAUAGCAUAGUGACCCAGUCACACAUAUGUAUAUGUUCUUUUUUUUUUAGGGCCACACCAGCAGCAUAUGGAGGUUUCCAGGCUAGGGUUUGAACUGGAGCUAUAACUGCCAGCCUACACCACAGCCACAGCAACACCAGAUCCCAGCCAUGUCUUCAACGUACACCGAAGCUCACAGCAACGCCUGAUGGUUAACCCACUGAGCAAGGCCAAGGAUCAAACCUGCAACCUCAUGGUUCCUUGUCGGAUUUGUUUCCACUGUACCACAAUGGGAACUCCCCGUUCGUUUUUAAUAUUCUUUUCUAUCACGGUCUGUUUCAGGAGAUUGGAUAGAGUUCCCUGUGCUAUACAGUAAGACCUCAUUGCUUAUUCAUUCUAAAUGUAAUACUUUGCAUCUACCAACCCCAAACUCCCUGUCCAUCUCACUCCCUUCCCCUCCCCCUUAGCAACCACAAAUCUGUUCUCCAUGUUUGUGAGUCUAUUGCUGUUCCAUAAAUAGGUUCAUCUGUGCCAUAUAUUAGAUUCCAGAUAUAAGUGAUAUCAUAUGGUGUCUUUCUCUUUCUGACUUACUUCACUUAGUAUGAGAAGCUCAAGUUGCAUCCAUGUUGUUGCAAAUGGCAUGAUUUUGUUCUUUUUUAUAGCUGAGUAGUAUUCCAUUGUGUAUAUAUACCACAUCUUCUUAAUCCAUUCAUCUGUCAGUGGACAUUUAGGUGGUUUCCAUGUCUAGGCAGGAAAGGUGUGGUCUUUCUUCUACCUCCUUGUCUCCCCCUUUCCCUUCUUCCUAAGAUAAUCCAUCAACAGAUUUAAAAGUAAUUAACUGGCAGAAGGUCAUAAACAGAAGAAAAUGUGAAUGUCUCUGUCCUUACGUUUCCAGCUCUGGCCUCAUUCUCAGAAAGCUAGCACUUUUUUUAAGGUUCUGAUUGUGAUUACUUAUAAUUCCAUUUCUUACCUUUCAGAGCAAAUCAGCCACAGAUUGAGACACAGUAUCUACAGACAGUCUGCUCUGAAAGAUAUGGAAUUUUCCUUAGACUGCUCUCAGCGUCUCCUCCUCCUCUUUGCCGAUUUUUGUUCUAGUAUUAUUUUUAUUUAUUUGAACACCCAGUUGCCUUUAUUUUUUUUAUUUUUUAUUUUUAUUUUUUGUCUUUUUGCUAUUUCUUGGGCCGCUCCUGCGGCAUAUGGAGAUUCCCAGGCUAGGGGUCCAGUCAGAGCUGUAGCCAUCGGCCUACACCAGAGCCACAGCAACAUGGGAUCCGAGCCGCGUCUGCAACCUACACCACAGCUCAUGGCAACGCCGGAUUGUUAACCCACUGAGCAAGGGCAGGGACCGAACCUGCAACCUCAUGGUUCCUAGUUGGAUUCAUUAACCACUGCGCCACGACGGGAACUCCAGUUGCCUUUAUGAUUUAAAUGCGAUGCAUAAACCUAAUUUUUGAUUCAUUCACCUUAGGUUGCACCUGUGGACUCCCAGUCAAAAGAUGAAGAAAUGAGCACCCUCCCCUGCCCUUAGUUUCAGCUAGUUAUGGCAAUUUGACAUUGUCUAGGCUUGUAAACUUUUCAUUCGGUUUUGUGACUAAAUAUGCCUUUCAUACUUCCUCUUUACGUUGAUUUUAAACAUGGAAACUGCAACAUUUAUUUUGUGUUUGUCAGAGUUCUGUUUGGUCUUGAUUUUUCUGAGGAGUCAAACCACAGGCUUCCCUCUUCUCUUUUCCUUCAUUAAGUCUGAAUUUCCAGUAUCUCGCUUGGUAAAUGUAAAAUUGUAACCUAUGAUCUUGAAAGCAUUUCUGAAGUUAUAAAUAAUUUUACUCCUCACAGGAGUAAGAGCUUAUUAUCAGAUGCACGAUGGGCUGGAAUGGGUUGAAUGCCUAACUCUGGCCUUAUUUAUACUUUGGCAUGGUAAUAAUACUCAUAUUCCUUUCUGAACCUUUAGUUUCUUAGAUAGUUGAAAAUAAUGAUGUCAGUCUCACCUGGGUGUUGAGAGGGUUGAUUCAUGUAAGUAGAAAAGAAGUUGUUACGUAGAAUGUGUUUUCUACAUACGAGGCAGGACUUUUGAAGCCAUUGUCAGUAGAGAAAGAGAAGUUACUGCUGUUUAGCAUGUGGAGGAGUGUGGCCGGUUUUUCUCAUUGACCUGUCCAUUUCAGUAGCAUCCUGCCUCAGCAAGCGGCCCAGAUGAGCAAAAGCUUAGCAGAGAGGAAUGGGGGCCUUGCCCUGUGAGUCUUCUAAGUGAUUCCACACCAGCAAUUGGAACUGGGAUUUGCCUUUACUGACCAAGCUGCCUGCUGGUCAGCCGGGAGUCGACCACUGCUGAGAUGUGUGGCAGGUGCAGGCGUUGGCCCAGGAGGCUUGCUGGAGAGAAAGGAGGACCUUAUGGAGAGCUGUAGCUCCUUCGUCCUGUCCACCAGGGCGCUGUGUGAGGAGCAGGGUGGGCCCAGAUGGGACAGGUUUAAUGUUUUUAAUCCAUAAAAACUUGGUGCUACAGGCAUUUCAGAUGCACCUGCCGUCAUCUUUUUGAAGCACCCAUGAAAACACUGAUGAGAAUUUCAGACAGCACUACAGUGGCAGUGUUCCUGUUUUCCCUAAUUGAAGGAGCAUUAGCACGUGUAAUUUGAAUAGUCUGCUCUUAGGCUGAGGAUAAUAACUGAGUCUAAAAGCAAAAAAAAAAAAAAAAAAAAAAAAAAAAAAAAA
rnacentral:lncRNA from 1 species